rnacentral:rRNA from 1 species
CCGUAACUAUAACGGUCCUAAGGUAGCGAAAUUCCUUGUCGGGUAAGUUCCGACCCGCACGAAAGGCGUAAUGAUUUGAGCGCUGUCUCGACAAUGCACCCGGUGAAAUUGAAAUACCAGUGAAGAUGCUGGUUACCUGCGCCAGGACGGAAAGACCCCAUGGAGCUUUACUCCAGCUUGAUACUGGGAUUCGGUAUUGCAUGUACAGGAUAGGUGGGAGGCUGUGAAGCGAUGACGCCAGUUGUCGCAGAGCCGCUGUUGGGAUACCACCCCUGCAGUACUGGGUUUCUAACCUGCGGCCGUAAUCCGGCCGGGGGACAAUGUCUGACGGGGAGUUUGACUGGGGCGGUCGCCUCCGAAAGGGUAUCGGAGGCGCUCAAAGGUUCCCUCAGAAUGGUUGGAAACCAUUCGAAGAGUGCAAAGGCAGAAGGGAGCUUGACUGCGACACCGACGGGUGGAGCAGGUACGAAAGUAGGACUUAGUGAUCCGGUGGUAUUAAGUGGGAAUGCCAUCGCUCAACGGAUAAAAGCUACCCUGGGGAUAACAGGCUUAUCACUCCCAAGAGUUCACAUCGACGGAGUGGUUUGGCACCUCGAUGUCGGCUCAUCGCAUCCUGGGGCUGUAGUAGGUCCCAAGGGUUGGGCUGUUCGCCCAUUAAAGCGGUACGCGAGCUGGGUUCAGAACGUCGUGAGACAGUUCGGUCCCUAUCCGGCGUGGGCGUAGGAUAUUUGAGAGGAGCUGUCCUUAGUACGAGAGGACCGGGAUGGACUGACCUCUGGUGUACCGGUUGCACCGCCAGGUUCACGGCCGGGUAGCCAAGUCGGGAAGGGAUAAACGCUGAAGGCAUCUAAGCGUGAAGCCCCCCUCAAGAUGAGAUAUCCCAUUCGAAAGAAGUAAGACCCCUUGAAGACGACGAGGUAGAUAGGGCAGAGGUGGAAGUGCAGUAAUGCAUGGAGCUGACUGUUACUAAUAGGUCGAGGGCUUAACCAA